AGCGAACGCUGGCGGCAGGCUUAACACAUGCAAGUCGAGCGGGCAUCCUUGUGGUGUCAGCGGCAGACGGGUGAGUAACGCGUGGGAACGUGCCCUUCGGUUCGGAAUAACUCAGGGAAACUUGAGCUAAUACCGGAUACGUGCGAGAGCAGAAAGGUUAUCUGCCGAAGGAUCGGCCCGCGUCUGAUUAGCUAGUUGGUGAGGUUAUGGCUCACCAAGGCGACGAUCAGUAGCUGGUCUGAGAGGAUGAUCAGCCACACUGGGACUGAGACACGGCCCAGACUCCUACGGGAGGCAGCAGUGGGGAAUAUUGGACAAUGGGGGCAACCCUGAUCCAGCCAUGCCGCGUGAGUGAUGACGGCCUUAGGGUUGUAAAGCUCUUUUCUCCGGGACGAUAAUGACGGUACCGGAGGAAUAAGCCCCGGCUAACUUCGUG
rnacentral:rRNA from 1 species